GUAGGUGGCAAGCGUUGUCCGGGAAUUAUUGGGGCGUAAAGCGCGCGCAGGCGGUUCUUUAAGUCUGAUGUGAAGCCCACGGGCUCAACCGUGGAGGGUCAUUGGAAACUGGAGAACUUGAGUACAGAAGAGGAAAGCGGAAUUCCACGUGUAGCGGUGAAAUGCGUAGAGAUGUGGAGGAACACCAGUGGCGAAGGCGGCUUUCUGGUCUGUAACUGACGCUGAGGCGCGAAAGCGUGGGGAGCAAACAGGAUUAGAUACCCUGGUAGUCCACGCCGUAAACGAUGAGUGCUAAGUGUUAGGGGGGUUUCCGCCCCUUAGUGCUGCAGCUAACGCAUUAAGCACUCCGCCUGGGGAGUACGGCCGCAAAGGCUG
rnacentral:rRNA from 1 species